AACCCUUGCCCGCAAUAACACGCAGCCACUUUAAAAACUUUAAAUCAAUUAUGAACAAUUUCUUUCUUGAAUGUUAACAAAUGUUUCAUCAAUAAAAGAUUGAUUACAAAGCAUCUAAAAUAGAAACAUUUAAUGUGUCAUUUUCUUUUCCCCAUAACCCUGAAGCAUGUUACGCUCCUCGUUCCUAGCAUCUCCUAUUCAUCUGUAAGAACAUAAAUAAAUGGGUAUGAGCUAUAAAGCUCAGUAAGUAACCAUGCAUAAUCUUAUCUGAUCAAUCAUAAUAUUUUCUCAUACUAGUGCAUUAAUUUAAGAAACUAACAGUUGUAACAAAGUAAGCAUUUCAUAUA
rnacentral:lncRNA from 1 species